rnacentral:lncRNA from 1 species
AUUCACUGUAACUAUGACAUUUAAUAACUCUUUUUUUUUUAAUUUAUUUAUCAGAAGGUAUGCUGCUGCAAUAAUUUGGUGCAUUCACUUAUCUCAGUCCCACUAUUGGAAAGUAUAUUACUUGUACCUGAUUACAUUAUGUUUCACGGCUAUUAUAUUUCUUUAUACUGUUUUGCAUCAUCAUAGCUCUUAAAUUAUUCUACAUAUUUUUCAAGAGGAGGUGGUUUUUUCCCCAUUGCAAAAGAACCAGAUUUAGUUUCCCUGCUGUAAAUACCCCAUAUCAGUCAGUAGUUUGUAUUGGUUUUACUCAGUCCUGGUGAAAUGUAAUUAUUCUGCAAGUAUAAAUAAUUACCAGCUCUAUCUUACGGUAUAAUGCAAUGCAUAUAUUCUUGUCUUCCCAAGGAUAUGAGGCCUGUCUUUUUGCAAGAUAUGACGAGAAGUCACAGAUUGCUAAUUUGUGACCUGGCUUCCUAGCAGGGAGAAUGGUAAUUGCCAUCAGACAGCUCCCUCUGCUUUCUUAAGCACUAGAAGCACUUUUUACCAUCUACAUCACUCAGAAAAAGGUGCAAAGAGGAAUGUUCAGACAGUUCUCGAUUUCCCAGCUAAGUCUCUGCAUGAGGAACGCUGUAAAGCCUGAGCAAAAGGGAGCAGCCAGUUUUACCAGGGAGGGUGCAAGGAGGAAAAACAAGUUCACUCAGGAAGACCUGCAGCAUUUCCUCUUUGGGAAUGGUGCCAAAAGCACCGAGAGACCCAGCAAAGGAAGGAUUAACAGCUCCAGCCUCAAGAUGCUCUCAAUUAGUCCAUGUGAGAGGACACAAAGUUGA